rnacentral:rRNA from 1 species
ACUCCGGUUGAUCCUGCCGGACCCGACUGCUAUCGGAUUGGGAUUUAGCCAUGUUAGUUGUGCGUCCCCUGGCUACAGGGGACGCAGCGUACGGCUCAGUAACACGUAGUCAACCUGCCCUGGAGACGCGGACAAACCCGGGAAACUGGGGCCUAUCCGCGAU